rnacentral:rRNA from 1 species
AACGCGAAGAACCUUACCAGGACUUGACAUGCACCGGAAAACGGCGGAAACGUCGUCCUCCCGCAAGGGCAGUUGUCGAGGUGCUGCAUGGCUGUCGUCAGCUCGUGUCGUGAGAUGUUGGGUUAAGUCCCGCAACGAGCGCAACCCUUGUCCGCUGUUGCCAUCAGGUUAUGCUGGGCACUCUGCGGAGACUGCCGGUGAUAAACCGGAGGAAGGUGGGGAUGACGUCAAGUCAGCAUGGCCUUUAUGUCUGGGGCUACACACGUGCUACAAUGGCCGAUACAAACCGUCGCGAUACCGCAAGGUGGAGCUAAUCGGAGAAAAUCGGUCUCAGUUCGGAUUGCAGGCUGCAACUCGCCUGCAUGAAGUUGGAAUCGCUAGUAAUCGCGGAUCAGCACGCCGCGGUGAAUACGUUCCCGGGCCUUGUACACACCG